rnacentral:rRNA from 1 species
UACGUAGGUGGCGAGCGUUAUCCGGAAUUAUUGGGCGUAAAGAGCGCGCAGGUGGUUGAUUAAGUCUGAUGUGAAAGCCCACGGCUUAACCGUGGAGGGUCAUUGGAAACUGGUCGACUUGAGUGCAGAAGAGGGAAGUGGAAUUCCAUGUGUAGCGGUGAAAUGCGUGGAGAUAUGGAGGAACACCAGUGGCGAAGGCGGCUUCCUGGUCUGUAACUGACACUGAGGCGCGAAAGCGUGGGGAGCAAACAGGAUUAGAUA